rnacentral:lncRNA from 1 species
AGCACUAACGCUUCCAUGUGCCAAGACCCUUCAGACCCUGUAUCCUGGCAGAUGAAGGAUUGCCAGAGACAAGCACUGAACAGCAGCAGAAAGCCGGUGACUAUUAACACACACUUCUUGACUUAUAUAUGCAACUGUCAGAUGGGACGAUUCAUCCACUUUGUUCAGAGCCAAAAUAUCCAGCUAUGGAGAGUGCGCCUGGGAAGCCUCUACAUUGGUGUGCAUUUCAAUAAUCUCAAAAACAUCUGCAGUACCCUUCUCCACAGACUCUUCUGACGCAGUUUGAAAAUGUUAUAUAGGUGGGAAAUUUCCGUAGCAGAAUGAAGUAUAAAUACUUAUAAACUCACAAUGAGGACGUGAGGCAAAGCGAUUCAAUCCUACAGUUGGCACUAAAACUUUGGUCCCCUGGAGCAAUUCUGUCAUCUUGACCUGAAUAUGGUUCUUCUAUAUACAUUCUGAAGAAUGGCAGUGUGUGACAGGCUUAUGUCGCUCAUGGGGCCUUUAGUUUAUGCAUUCCUGGCACAGCUCUUGCAGUAGCUCAAAACUCCUGGCAGGCUCCCAGGACUCAGAUAUGAAUACACAUGCUCUUCUGUCCUUAAAUUACAUCUGUACUAACCUGAUAUAGUCUCCAGGCCUCCCUUUUCUGGGCAACAUGGUAGAAUUCUUGGGCCAGAGGAAUCUCCGUCAACUGUUUAUCUUUCUGAGCAAUUAUUUGCUACUUGAGAAAAAAAAAAGAAGUUACUAGUUUAAAUAAAAAAUAAAAAUACAGAUUAAAAAAAUUGUACUAGUUAGUUUGUAUUGUCAACUUGACACAAUCUAGAGUUACCUGGGAAGAGGAAAUCUGAACUACUGAGGAAUUGUCCACAAGAGAUUGUCUUGACUGAUGAUUAAUGUGGGAGGAUUAAGCCCACUGUGGGCAGCACCAUUCCUAGGCAGGAGGAUCGGGCUGUAAAAGAAAUCUAGCUUAGUAUGAGCCAGUGAGUGAGACAGCAAGCAACACUCCUCCAUGGUUUUGGUUCAAUUCCCUGUCCUGACUCUCCUCAACAUAGGACUACGAACUGGAAGUACAGAUGAAAUAAAUCCUCUCUUCCCCUAAAUUGCUUUCGGUUGAGUGUUUUAUCAUAGCAACAGAAAAGCAAACUAGAAUAAGAAUGAUAUCAAAUACAUUAGUCUGAGGGAGAAAGAAGAAGAAGAAGAGGAAGAGGAAGAGGGAGGAAGAGGGAGGAAGAGGAAGAGAGAGAAAGAAGAAGAAGAAGAAGAAGAAGAAGAAGAAGAAGAAGAAGAAGAAGAAGAAGAAGAAGAAGAAGAA